rnacentral:rRNA from 1 species
UCAAUGCCGCGUGAGUGAAGAAGGCCUUCGGGUUGUAAAGCUCUUUUGUCAGGGAAGAAACAGCAGCUCUAAUACAGUUUGCGAAUGACGGUACCUGAAGAAUAAGCACCGGCUAACUACGUGCCAGCAGCCGCGGCAAUACGUAGGGUGCAAGCGUUAAUCGGAAUUACUGGGCGUAAAGCGUGCGCAGGCGGUUAUGUAAGACAGGCGUGAAAUCCCCGGGCUUAACCUGGGAAUUGCGCUUGUGACUGCAUAGCUAGAGUAUGUCAGAGGGGGGUAGAAUUCCACGUGUAGCUGUGAAAUGCGUAGAGAUGUGGAGGAAUACCAAUGGCGAAGGCAGCCCCCUGGGAUAAUACUGACGCUCAUGCACGAAAGCGUGGGGAGCAAACAGGAUUAGAUACCCUGGUAGUCCACGCCCUAAACGAUGCUGACUAGUUGUUCGGGAAUUUAUUCCUGAGUAACGUAGCUAACGCGUGAAGUCAGCCGCCUGGGGAGUACGGUCGCAAGAUUAAAACUCAAAGGAAUUGACGGGGACCCGCACAAGCGGUGGAUGAUGUGGAUUCAU